rnacentral:sRNA from 1 species
AAAAAAGUUUCAAAAUCACUAACUGGGUUGUUUUUGAAUCAACAUAACACCUCCGAGCAUUCUAUACGGCUAAUGGUAAAAAAUACCUGGAAAAAUCAUAUUCUUCUGGUAAUAAUAUUCUUACUUGGAUGAAAUGACUGUUCAUGUGUAGGUUGUGCCAACUGUUUUAAUUAAACCAGUGGUCGAGUAGGUGCACAUGACUUUACCCGAGUUCAACUCCAUGAAGUGACUUCCAUAGGUCGGCAUUGUAACACAAUUGAUCCAAAUUACUGUCCACCAAUCACAUUUGUGAUUAUCAUGAAACAAUAUAUCACAACAUUGGAAGCUCAACAUAGUGACAAGAAUAAAAAUGUCUUUGGAGGUUCCUCCUCAUACCUCUUAAGACUUUAUAAUUUAAUCUUAACAUAUAAUUAACAUACAUGUAUUUCUUCUUUAGGUAUUGUGGUUGAAACCUCCAUUUGUCACCCUUAUGAUCAAUUCGAUUUCUACUGAAAGUAUUAAGGUAUCAAAAAGUUUCUCAACCAAUUAAAAAUCUCCAUGGUCUCUCAAUAGAAUUAUAAGUUU